rnacentral:rRNA from 1 species
UACGGAGGACCCGAGCGUUAUCCGGAUUUAUUGGGUUUAAAGGGUGCGUAGGCGGAUUAGUAAGUUAGAGGUGAAAGCUCGAUGCUCAACAUCGAAAUUGCCUCUGAUACUGUUAGUCUAGAGUAUAGUUGCGGAAGGCGGAAUGUGUGGUGUAGCGGUGAAAUGCUUAGAUAUCACACAGAACACCGAUUGCGAAGGCAGCUUUCCAAGCUAUUACUGACGCUGAGGAGCGAAAGCGUGGGGAGCGAACA